rnacentral:rRNA from 1 species
CGGCUGAUUAGCUUGUUGGUAAGGUAAGAGCUUACCNANGCNNCGAUCAGUAUCUGGUUUGAGAGGACGAUCAGACACACUGGAACUGAGACACGGUCCAGACUCCUACGGGAGGCAGCAGUGGGGAAUUUUCCGCAAUGGGCGAAAGCNUGACGGAGCAAUACCGCGUGAGGGAAGACUGCCUAUGGGUUGUAAACCUCUUUUUUCAGGGAGGAAUCAAUGACGUGUACCUGAAGAAUAAGC